CUCCCUGUGUCCCAGGAAUGCCUUCCUGGCUGGCAGUGGGGAAUUUUGCUCAGGAGUCUGUGGGAUGUGGCCCAGAGCUGCAGAUAGAAAUGCUGAAAGCAAAUGUCCCCCGAUUGCUACUUGCUGYCUUAUAAAAAGCUGAAGCCGAAAUGAACUUCCAAAGAGAUUGAAUUAAUAGUGUCCUUGUGAAGGAGUAACCUGAAGAAUUUACCCAUCCACCAAAAGUAAAAGCAAAUUUCAACCAAUAGACACUGUGUGACUUGAAAAGACAGGUUGGAGGUGAGUUUUGGAGGCUUUGGACUCGGUGUUUCCAGGCCGUGUGAGAGGAGUGAGUUUUGGAUCUGGCCUGGAUGACAGUGAAGAGCACCUGCUCCAUGAAUCUUGUGUUUGGGUGAGGCCUGAGUGCUCCCUCCUGGUAACCUGGAACCCUGGUGCCCUCCUGCUGGGAGGAGAGCUC